UUUUACAAAGGAAUAAUAUGAGCAAGGACAGAUACUGAAAGAACCUAGUGGGGAAACCCCCACUCAACUCCCGAUUCGGCGUGCACCCAAGAAUCACGAACAGAUCG
rnacentral:pre_miRNA from 7 species